rnacentral:tRNA from 1 species
GCUUUUGGUUCAGUGGUAGAAUUCUCGCCUGCCACGCGGGCGCCCCGGGUUCGAUUCCCGACCGAUGCA